rnacentral:rRNA from 1 species
CCUACGGGGGGCAGCAGUGAGGAAUAUUGGUCAAUGGACGAGAGUCUGAACCAGCCAAGUAGCGUGAAGGAUGACUGCCCUAUGGGUUGUAAACUUCUUUUAUAUGGGAGUAAAAUGUUCCACGUGUGGGAUUUUGUAUGUACCAUAUGAAUAAGGAUCGGCUAACUCCGUGCCAGCAGCCGCGGUAAUACGGAGGAUCCGAGCGUUAUCCGGAUUUAUUGGGUGUAAAGGGAGCGUAGGUGGAUUGUUAAGUCAGUUGUGAAAGUUUGCGGCUCAACCGUAAAAUUGCAGUUGAAACUGGCAGUCUUGAGUACAGUAGAGGUGGGCGGAAUUCGUGGUGUAGCGGUGAAAUGCUUAGAUAUCACGAAGAACUCCGAUUGCGAAGGCAGUUCACUGGACUGCAACUGACACUGAGGCUCGAAAGUGUGGGUAUCAAACAGGAUUAGAUACCCGAGUAGUC